rnacentral:rRNA from 1 species
UUCCGGUUGAUCCCGCCGGAGGCCACUGCUAUGGGGGUCCGACUAAGCCAUGCGAGUCGAGGGGGCGUCCCUUCUGGGACGCCACCGGCGGACGGCUCAGUAACACGUCGGUAACCUACCCUCGGGAGGGGGAUAACCCCGGGAAACUGGGGCUAAUCCCCCAUAGGCCUGGGGUACUGGAAGGUCCCCAGGCCGAAAGGGGACCGUUAGGUCCCGCCCGAGGAUGGGCCGGCGGCCGAUUAGGUAGUUGGUGGGGUAACGGCCCACCAAGCCGAAGAUCGGUACGGGCCGUGAGAGCGGGAGCCCGGAGAUGGACACUGAGACACGGGUCCAGGCCCUACGGGGCGCAGCAGGCGCGAAGCCUCCGCAAUGCGGGAAACCGCGACGGGGGGACCCCCAGUGCCGUGCCUCUGGCACGGCUUUUCCGGAGUGUAAAAAGCUCCGGGAAUAAGGGCUGGGCAAGGCCGGUGGCAGCCGCCGCGGUAAUACCGGCGGCCCGAGUGGUGGCCACUAUUAUUGGGCCUAAAGCGGCCGUAGCCGGGCCCGUAAGUCCCUGGCGAAAUCCCACGGCUCAACCGUGGGGCUCGCUGGGGAUACUGCGGGCCUUGGGACCGGGAGAGGCCGGGGGUACCCCCGGGGUAGGGGUGAAAUCCUAUAAUCCCGGGGGGACCGCCAGUGGCGAAGGCGCCCGGCUGGAACGGGUCCGACGGUGAGGGCCGAAGGCCAGGGGAGCGAACCGGAUUAGAUACCCGGGUAGUCCUGGCUGUAAAGGAUGCGGGCUAGGUGUCGGGCGAGCUUCGAGCUCGCCCGGUGCCGUAGGGAAGCCGUUAAGCCCGCCGCCUGGGGAGUACGGCCGCAAGGCUGAAACUUAAAGGAAUUGGCGGGGGAGCACUACAAGGGGUGGAGCGUGCGGUUCAAUUGGAGUCAACGCCGG